GUGUGAUGUGUGUGAGGGCUGUGUGUGUGUGAGGGGUGUGUGAGGGGUGUGUGUGGGGGCUCUCCUGGGGGCACUGAUGGCAGUGCUGAGCCAGGAGUGCAUCUGAGGCGUGUUGGGCACCUCAGGGGCCCCUCUGCAACACUGCCUGUGAUUAAAGCCCCACAAACGCCCACCAGGAGAGCCCAGGCAGCCCAAGUGUCUCCAGGGUCACCAGAUCCUGUGCUCUGA